GGAGGACUGGAGCUGAAACAUGUAAGGAGGACGGGAGGACGGCAGGAAGAGGAGACAGGGAGGUUAUCUGGAGUCAUUCCGCGGUGCCCCAAAGCGGGGGCCUUGUGAGUGCACAAGCAUGAGGGAGCGGACACAGUUAUGGAGCACAAUGGGACAGAAACCAGCAAGUGACACUGAAAGGACCUGAGCCCUAGGACCAUGCCUCAGAACUACCUGACAUGAUGACUC